rnacentral:rRNA from 1 species
AUUGAACGCUGGCGGCAGGCCUAACACAUGCAAGUCGAGCGAGCGGCGGACGGGUGAGUAAUGUCUGGGAAACUGCCUGACGGAGGGGGAUAACUACUGGAAACGGUAGCUAAUACCGCAUACCAUCAGAUGUGCCCAGAUGGGAUUAGCUUGUAGGUGAGGUAACGGCUCACCUAGGCGACGAUCCCUAGCUGGUCUGAGAGGAUGACCAGCCACACUGGAACUGAGACACGGUCCAGACUCCUACGGGAGGCAGCAGUGGGGAAUAUUGCACAAUGGGCGAAAGCCUGAUACAGCAAUGCCGCGUGUGUGAAGAAGGCCUUCGGGUUGUAAAGUACUUUCAGCAGGGAGGCGUUACCCAAAGAGGAAGCACCGGCUAACUCCGUGCCAGCAGCCGCGGUAAUUC